UACGGAGGGGGCAAGCGUUAUUCGGAAUUAUUGGGCGUAAAGGGCGCGUAGGCGGCUAGAUGUGUCAAAGGUGAAAUCCCUCGGCUCAACUGAGGAACUGCCUUUGAAACUGUCUGGCUUGAGGCCGGGAGAGGGUAGCGGAAUUCCCAGUGUAGCGGUGAAAUGCGUAGAUAUUGGGAGGAACACCAGUGGCGAAAGCGGCUCACUGGAUCUCUUCUGACGCUGAGGCACGAAAGCUAGGGUAGCAAACGGG
rnacentral:rRNA from 1 species